rnacentral:lncRNA from 1 species
CUGAGGUACAGAAUGGAGGACAGUAUGCUAAGGAAUGGAAUGGUCGCUACUGAAAAGUAUCUCUAUUCACACACAGGAUGGCCCAGAGGUGGACAAAACACAGAACAGUAUUGGAAUCACACCCUUGGAAACAAAGCACAAAGGAGGAAUAAUACUGUGCAGGGAGAUGAGAGCGAGAUUGGAGUGGUACCAAUCCAGGGAUAUGUCACCCCGUGAUCAGCACCUGAUAGUGAGGGUUUCUCCGUGAAUCUUUGAAUUUGAAUCCAUGGAUUCAAGCACAUACAGCCUCAGAUGAAUGCCACCAAAUGAUUGUAAUAAAAACAGAGCAGUGCCAUUGUAGUCUUUCAUAAAU